rnacentral:rRNA from 1 species
GACGAACGCUGGCGGCGUGCUUAACACAUGCAAGUCGAACGGAAAGGCCCUGCUUUUGUGGGGUGCUCGAGUGGCGAACGGGUGAGUAACACGUGAGUAACCUGCCCUUGACUUUGGGAUAACUUCAGGAAACUGGGGCUAAUACCGGAUAGGAGCUCCUGCUGCAUGGUGGGGGUUGGAAAGUUUCGGCGGUUGGGGAUGGACUCGCGGCUUAUCAGCUUGUUGGUGGGGUAGUGGCUUACCAAGGCUUUGACGGGUAGCCGGCCUGAGAGGGUGACCGGCGACAAUGGGACUGAGGUACGGCCCAGACGCCUACGGGAGGCAGCAGUGGGGAAUAUUGCAGAAUGGGCGGAAGCCUGAUGCAGCAACGCCGCGUGCGGGAUGACGGCCUUCGGGUUGUAAACCGCUUUCGCCUGUGACGAAGCGUGAGUGACGGUAAUGGGUAAAGAAGCACCGGCUAACUACGUG